rnacentral:pre_miRNA from 1 species
AGCUUUCUAAAUCCGUGCUGAGAUUUCGUCAGACACCUACCCAUUAAAGCUGAUCAGACUUCCAAGAUAAGUGGAGUU